rnacentral:rRNA from 1 species
UACGAAGGGGGCUAGCGUUGUUCGGAAUUACUGGGCGUAAAGCGCACGUAGGCGGAUUUGUUAGUCAGGGGUGAAAUCCCGAGGCUCAACCUCGGAACUGCCUUUGAUACUGCAAAUCUCGAGUCCGGAAGAGGUGAGUGGAAUUCCUAGUGUAGAGGUGAAAAUUCGUAGAUAUUGGGAAGAACACCAGUGGCGAAGGCGGCUAACUGGUCCGAUACUGACGCUGAGGUGCGAAAGCGUGGGGAGCAAACAGGG